GGGGGUAUAGCUCAGUUGGUAGAGCAUAACCUUUGCAAGGUUGAAGUCAGCGGUUCAAUUCCGCUUACCUCCA